rnacentral:rRNA from 1 species
AUGACUCCUCAUCUUUUCUACUCUUUUAGGAUGGCGGAUGCAAGGAACAAGUUCACGCAACUGGAUGAAGAUACACCCUUUGGACGUCACUUGAAGGAAGUCACUAGAUAUCUGAACAUAGGAGUACCAAGCUUCACCGGGACUUACAACGCCACUUUACCCAAAGAAGAGCGCUGGAUGAUUCAAGUUCAAGUUCCAGGAAGGACGUUCAUGCCAUUCACUGAGCCCAUAGAGUUUUCCUUUGAUGCACCAACCUGGAGUCUAGGAAAGAGCAUGGCAGCUCACAUUGCCAUGGGACGCAUUGGAGAAGUUUAUCGCAAUGAUCUUAAGGAUAUUAUCUACCAGAUUUGUGGGCGCCGAGAUGAGCACUAG